ACCGGAGCAAAUGUUGUUACUGAUGUGAAAAACCAAGUGAUUGACACAUCUGUUAAAAAACAUGGCUUUUCUUCCAUCAAUUCUAAGUUAAAAGCCAAAGGUGUGCAGGUUGUUUCAUUUGAAGAUUGGGAAAAAAAUUUAUCAAGAGGAAAUCAAACGAGGCAAAGCUGUGGGUAAACCACGUGAGAAGAUAAUUAACAUUCAAGAAAUGUUGAGCAUUGCAGAAAGUGGGAAUACAAUUGCUCUAAAGAGCUAAGUUAGGGAAGUAACGAAACCAUAUUUUUUCUUUCUCUUUUCCUCAAAUUUUUAAUUGAUCAAUGAUAUUUUUAAUGUUA